rnacentral:rRNA from 1 species
CCCAGACUCCUACGGGAGGCAGCAGUGGGGAAUAUUGCACAAUGGGGGGAACCCUGAUGCAGCAAUGCCGCGUGGGUGAAGAAGCACUCCGGUGCGUAAAGCCCUGUCAGCAGGGAAGAAAAUGACAGUACCUGACCAAGAAGCCCCGGCUAACUACGUGCCAGCAGCCGCGGUAAUACGUAGGGGGCAAGCGUUAUCCGGAUUUAUUGGGUUUAAAGGGUGCGCGGGCGGUCGGUUAAGUCAGCGGUCAACGCCGGGGGCCCCCCCCCGGCCCGCCGUUGAAACUGGCAGUCUCGAGUUGGAGAGAAGUAUGCGGAAUGCGCGGUGUAGCGGUGAAAUGCAUAGAUAUCGCGCAGAACUCCGAUUGCGAAGGCAGCAUGCCGGCUCCACACUGACGCUGAGGCACGAAAGCGUGGGUAUCGAACAGGAUUAGAUACCCUGGUACU